UAACUCAGCAGUGGCGGACGGGUGAGUAACGCGUAGGUAUCUAUCUCCGGGUGGGGGACAACGGCUGGAAACGGCUGCUAAUACCGCAUGAUGCCCGAGGGCCAAAGGCGUAAGCCGCCUGGAGAGGAGCCUGCGUACGAUUAGCUUGUUGGCGGGGUAAAGGCCCACCAAGGCUUCGAUCGUUAGCUGGUCUGAGAGGAUGAUCAGCCACACUGGGACUGAGACACGGCCCUGACUCCUACGGGAGGCAGCAGUGGGGAAUAUUGGACAAUGGGCGCAAGCCUGAUCCAGCAAUGCCGCGUGAGUGAAGAAGGUCUUCGGAUUGUAAAGCUCUUUCGACGGGGACGAUGAUGACGGUACCCGUAGAAGAAGCCCCGGCUAACUUCGUGCCAGCAGCCGCGGUAAUACGAAGGGGGCUAGCGUUGCUCGGAAUGACUGGGCGUAAAGGGCGCGUAGGCGGUGUACACAGUCAGGCGUGAAAUUCCCGGGCUCAACCUGGGGGCUGCGCUUGAUACAUGUGCGCUUGAGUUCGGAAGAGGGUCGUGGAAUUCCCAGUGUAGAGGUGAAAUUCGUAGAUCUUGGGAAGAACACCGGUGGCGAAGGCGGCGACCUGGUCCGAUACUGACGCUGAGGCGCGAAAGCGUGGGGAGCAAACAGGAUUAGAUACCCUGGUAGUCCACGCCGUAAACGAUGUGUGCUGGAUGUUGGGUGACCUAGUCACUCAGUGUCGUAGCUAACGCGAUAAGCACACCGCCCGGGGAGUACGGCCGCAAGGUUGAAACUC
rnacentral:rRNA from 1 species